CACCCCCCGGCGGGUCCCUGCUUGGAGAGGAUGUCGGCGCGCGCGUGACCUGCGGGGACACGCCGGCACCUUCCCGCCUGAUCUUUUGACCAGAAAGGAAUUACAAAGACACCCCUCCUGAUGGCAGAGCCUGUCAGCUGCAUGGAACUUCCUUGAAGGAUUUUUAGAGGCAGCUGGAUUUACAGUGAUAUUUGGCCACCUGGGGAAGGAGCUGGUGGAAGCAUUGUCUGGAUUAACACACCCUGCACGUUUGUGGGGUACUCAGGGAGGCCCUGGCCGAGUGGAUGCCUGCAGCCUGGAGAGAAUCUGUGGAGGAACACGGAGGAUGGGGGACCGGAGCUCGGCCUUGUCUGGAACAGAAGUGACUGGUAUUAAGAGUCCAUGAUGCCAGGGUGUUCACCGGUGCUGCUGCCCCUCGCCUACACCCUGAUCUGGGAAGGGAAGUUGCUCCAGCGAACAGCACACAUCUUCACAAACUGAAUCCUGCGACUCCUGGGGUUUAGGUGGUUUUAAUCAGAAAGAAAAAAAAAAACAUCCAUCUGAUGCUGCAGAGGAACCUGAGAAACAUCCUUCCCUGAAUCAAAGCUGGGAUGUCUGUAGAGAAUUAAGCUAAUUUGGAAACUUCUAAAUGGAUGUCAUGUUUGACACUGGGAUCGAGAUGCUGGCGGCGAGUUGCUCUCCUUCCUGUGUGUGUCUUUACCAAGAAAUACCCAUGAGCUGACAAGCCCAUGAUGGCUUCCUGCUGGACUGGGUGGCUACUUCCCGCCCUUCUCAGAUGCUGCUCCUAAGAAUGACACGGGGGUUUUGUUGAGCAUGUGGAAAGGGGUUUUUGGUAAGGAGUCUGAUUAAGCUUAGGUAAGUUUCCUGAAAAAGAAAAGGAUCCUCUUCUUUGAAAUAUCCCCAAACAGUAAGAGUGUCUGUGUUGCUCACUGGGGCCAAGGACAAGUGUGUACUUGGGGCAGAUCACUGGAUCCCUCAACAGCCGGGGACGGAACUGGUUUGAGCUUCAUUCUCUAGAAGAGGAUCCUGAGGCUACAGAGGAUGGGAGGUUUGGGGCCAUACUGCCGAUCCUGGUGGCGAUGCUUGGAGGUGUCGGCAUCCAGCUUCCUGCUCUGCAGCGUACUGUCCCCACCCUGAGGUCAGCAAGAUGGGAGUGGGGCCUGGGGUCCCUGGGUGUUGAGGAUACAGGUGUUACCAGCAAGUCCUGUCAGAGCAACUCAUGGCUUGAUGGGGAUCUGAGAUGGUGGUGAGGGUGGAGAGAAUUUGAAAGUCAAUCUCGUUGAGACUCACAUUUGCAUGGUUAUGCUCCAUACGGUCUAAGUGAGCUCAGAGUCAUGGCUCUGCACAAAGGCAGGCGAGGUUCUUGGGCCAUCUGAUCACAUCGUCACACACUGGCCCACACAUGGCCUUGUUCUGCGUGUGUUCCUGCCCAGAGGCACCUUGUUUCACGUGCACUGCCGGUUCACAGCCAACGGCACCAGAACUAAGGGCCCAGGGGUGCUUAUCUACAUACCGGUUUUCUCUGCAGACACCCACAGCCACCUCAUGCUUAGGACCACCAGACCAGUCUCGACAGCCAACUCCUUAGCAGAGCACAAGCACAAGGACAGUGUGGCACUGAGCAGACCCCGGGACGGCACUAGUUUAUGGUGUGAGAGCGCAAGGGCAGCCGGAGCGCCUGGCGCUUGGUUGGACCUCGGCUGGGCGUGUGUGUUGGGAGACUCAAUUUUUUCCCACCAAAUGUUCGAGAAAGACCAUGAACCAGCCUCGAAUCGGGGGUGACAGAUGACUUGUGGGGAGUAGGUGAAUUCAGAAGCACAGGCUCCGUAGACAGACAGCAGGGUCGGUGUGGAGGGAAGCUGAGCAAGUGCCGCCGAGCUCCAGGCCAGAGCCUUUCUGAGCGCAGGGCCAGAGAGUAUGUUUCAGGCACUGGGACCCCACGGUCUGUGUGGGCCGGACCUAACAAGAGGGCAUGGCUGUGCGCCAUUGAACCUUUCUUUUUCUGCACCCAAACCUGAAGGACAGAUUCUCCUGUGUCCCAAGAUGCCAUCCUUCUGAUUUUCCCCUCACCAUUUAAAAAUGUAAAAGCCACGCUCAGCUUAGGCUGGAAAAAAGCAGCUGGCAGCCAGCUUUGACCUGAAGGUCCUGGUUCACUGACUUCUGCCUCAGACACUCCCAGGUAGGGAUACUUACUAAUAAUACAAAAACUAAAUAAUUCGGAAGAGCACGGGAUAAAGUUUAAAUAUCCACCUGAAUUCCCAAGACCCAGACGUUUCCAUAAACAGCACAGAAAUGGCCCUCCUGGACACAGGCAGGCCCCUUCACGAGGUCCUAGAGCUAGUGCAUGUCUGCUGGGGUGUGCAGUAGAUGGGUGUCCACGCAGCCCCAUCUCCAUGUAUCGUGACCCAAGGGGUCCUCUGCAGCUGGAUCUGAUCUCACCACCUCGUCCAGUGCGCAUGUCUUCCGGCGCUGUUCAGUCCUCCUGCUGUUACGCAUACAUGUUCACAUACAUGUCCGUGCUGCCGGGAGGCAUGCCCUGCACUUGUGCACUUCCCACAUUGCGGGCCACACAGUGACCAGAGCUCCAGGGCUGGGUGGUUUGAGUGCAAUCUCUGGUCCAGGGAGACCAGGCUGCUACCUUCCCGGGGCAGGCAGCUCCCUUCUGCUCUGAAAUGUGCUGGACGGAGCAUCUAGUUGCUAGAGGUGACCCCUAACUGCCUGCUAGCAGAGAAAUGGGUCCUCAUCCUCCAACUGCAGGGAACUGAGUUCUUUCCAUGUGUGAGUGACUGUGCUUAGAGGAGGGUCCUCCUGGCAGCCGCCUUGGGGGAGCGCAGCUGGCUGACACCUUGCGUUCAGUGGUGAACCCCAGUCUAAACACCCUGCUGAACCUACCCACACUUCUGACUACAGGACUGCCUGUCCCUGCUGCAGCACCUUGCAUAAUGCAGUGGAUGUUGGGGGACACCCACUGCUGAUCCCGCAGCCUCACCACGGAUGUUGGGCUGGAGGAGGAAGGCCGUGGAACUUUGGGCGCUUCUCACCAUAUUGGGCUUAUUGCCCACAGUUGUUCAUUAAAAUGCUUCUUGUUCUUUUUGCACUAUUUUAAAAUGGAUGCCUCUAAGAUCCCAAAAUAGCCCAGAAAUAUUUUUUUUUAAGAUUUAUCUAUUUAUGCAUAUAAGAAUUGGGGUACAGGCUAGAGGUGUGUGGGGGUAUGUGUGAGAGGAUUCACCAGAGACAGAGUGGGGAGCAGAACAGGCAGCCUGACUGAAAUACACUGCUGAGGGGAGCAGCGGGUGAGUCAGAAGAGGUCUGCUGCACCAUGUGGGUAGCUCCCUGGCUGGCUGGGGAUUAAACUCAUGCUGCAGAGUGCAGAUAGCUCCACAGUGCUGUGUAUAACCCCCUGCGCCACUGGGGAGGCCCAGCCCAAAAAUAUUUUUGGCAUUUUUACUUGUUGGGGCUGCUUACAUUGGGUUGGAAGAUGACCCAAACCUUGGUAAAUAGUGUUUUUACUGUUGAUGAUGCAGUUUGACUUUCACAGAUUUUAUAACAAUAGCUGACACUUAUUAACUACAAGCACCACAGAUUAGAUUAGUAAAUCCUUACAACAAUGCUCUGUGGUUAAGACUAUCAGUACUUCUAUUUUUAUGAAGGAGAAAAUGGGCCCAGAGAGGUUUAGUGAUUUAGCCAAGAUCACACAGCAAGUUAGCAGGAGAGCUUAUUUUUUGGUCCAGGCAGUUUGGCUAUAGAGACUGGGGCAUUGCACCCCCUAAGCUGUUCCACCUCCCCCUGUGGCUUCCCGUCUGUCCACUCUUCAGAGGGGACUGGCCCUCUGUCCCUGGUUGGGCAGCAUUAGCUUUAGCAUGAUUGCUGUAGUUGGUUGGUGUACACAUUUCACAUGUGCACAGGGCUUUGCCAUUUCAAUCUCACAUUGGGUCAUGGUGGGGAUGGGAGGCUGGUGGCUGGGACAUGUUGCAAAAUGUGUCUUAAGCAAAACAAUCAAGUCCAAAGUCACAAUCCCACCGGACCCGCUGGGUGGAGAGGCCCGAUGGCCUGGGAUCCUGUCUUAAGGCCCGUGUUCUUCCUUCCAUGGGGAGGUCAGGGGCCUGGCCCCACCCGCCCCCUCUGAAUGCUGCUGUCCCUGCACAGAUGGUGCAGCGUCCACCCCGAGAUGCUCGCUGAGGCCCAAACUGGAAAUCAUUCUUUCGGUUUCCUCUGUGGUCUGUGAAUUUUCAUCGUGGCCUCUGUUGGGCCAGGGAGGCCCAUUUCCUUCUUUCUGUUGUUUUUCCCAAGCUGAGGGAACAUGGAGUGGGGAGGAAAAAAUCUUUCCAUCUUCUGUCCUUAGGGAAGCUGGCCAGAGUCGGUCCUUUUAGCUGCUGGCCAGAGGCCUGGCCCCCAGCCUCAGAAGCCACGUCCCCAGCGAGCGCUCUGCAGAGCCAGUGUCCAGACCGGCCUCCCCGCAGUUCGGGCACUGAGGCCGCAGCAGGCCGACCCUGCCCUGGAAUGUGCCUCAGAGAACAGCACAUCUCCUUGGCUCCCAGCGCCCCCUCUGCUGGGAAGCAGCGCAGUUCCUGUUCCCAGUACACCCCCCGCCCCAACCCCCUUCAAUACUUUUAAUAACUGCACAGGAAGUCUUCCCUCCAGCUCAGAGGGUCAUCACAGUUUGCAGCCUGGUGGUGUCGGCGGUUUCUUCAAACCUCCGAGUCUUGCCAGGGGUUCAUGAAUCACAUAUUAGAGCCUGGGCUCUAGAUUAGACAAGCCUGAACGUCAAAACCAGAACUGGACCUUGGACUGGCUGUGUGACGUCAGGCAAGCUCCUUCACCUCUCUGAGGCGCCCUCAGUUCCCAUCUGCAGAAGGGCAGGGUGCAGCCCCGGCAGGGCCGUGGGGACCAGAGGCGGGGUGGCCUCCUUCCUCGUGACAGCCUGCUGGGUGGCUACUGGACAGUGGGGUGGAGGAAGCUGGCAGAGGAGAUGGGCAGAAAAAAGAAGUGACUCUGCCUUUUCCCAUUAAAAAGGCAUCAGAGAAAGUAGCUGGUGAUAUCAGCAGCUUUGCUCCAGGGUUCCCGGACCACAAGGCAAGUUCAAGAAAGUGACUCUCACCUUUGUAAGACACUGCAGUAGACUGGAGUUUCUGGCCCCUCUUCCAGGCACAGUGAAUGUCUCUGCGUCUCUGCAGUGGGCGAGGGGCUUUGGGGGCAGGAAGUCUGCAGACACACCUGGACUCCGCAGCUUUCUAGCUCUGUGACAUUGGACACUAACUUCUCCAUGCCCCGUAUUUCUCACCUGAAAAGUGGCAACCAGAAUAUCCCUGCACACGACAUUGCUGUGAGGCUUCGAUGCGGUAAUGUGAGCCAGAGCUGAAACUGCUGCAUGGCGUGAGGAGUGUGAGCUGCUCUUCUCACCACCCCGUCCCUCUUUCUGUGCACGGGUGGGAGUGUGUGCGUGCAUGGGUGCAUGUCUGCUUGUGUGUGCUCGUGUGUGCAUGCAUGCACUUUUAUUUGCGCUCAUCUCCCACUAGAGUGCAAGUGCUUUCCAGCUUUGGGCACACCCGCUCUCUCAGGCGUGGAGCCAUUUCUCAGCUUCGUUCCUUGAGCCCAGCUAGAAGAAUGGAGUAAAAUGUGACCCGAGGAGAAAUCAAACAUUGUACAAACAUGCACAACGGUAUUAAAUAAAUAAAUAAUUUUUAAAAAUGUGGCCUGAGGAAUACCUGCAUUAGAGUUCCCUGGGGGCAUCCAUGAAAGUUAUCAGCUCCUGGGCCCCAGCCCAGAACCACCAAAUCGGAUGCUGGGUAUCAGCCCGGGGCCCUGUUUGGUUUUUUUUUCCACUUGCAACCCAGCAGAGACAGCUGAGCAGGGCUUGUGCAAAGGUGGCUAUUGCACACAAUCCUUUCCCCAGGAGCACCAGGACAUUUUGGGGUAGGGGAGAGGGUGAUAUAGACCAAUUAGCACCUUGCUUGACUUUUAUCCUGGAUUU